rnacentral:rRNA from 1 species
CUAUAGAUGCAGUCGAGCGAUGGAUUAGAGCUUGCUCUUAUGAAGUUAGCGGCGGACGGGUGAGUAACACGUGGGUAACCUGCCCAUAAGACUGGGAUAACUCCGGGAAACCGGGGCUAAUACCGGAUAAUAUUUUGAACCGCAUGGUUCGAAAUUGAAAGGCGGCUUCGGCUGUCACUUAUGGAUGGACCCGCGUCGCAUUAGCUAGUUGGUGAGGUAACGGCUCACCAAGGCAACGAUGCGUAGCCGACCUGAGAGGGUGAUCGGCCACACUGGGACUGAGACACGGCCCAGACUCCUACGGGAGGCAGCAGUAGGGAAUCUUCCGCAAUGGACGAAAGUCUGACGGAGCAACGCCGCGUGAGUGAUGAAGGCUUUCGGGUCGUAAAACUCUGUUGUUAGGGAAGAACAAGUGCUAGUUGAAUAAGCUGGCACCUUGACGGUACCUAACCAGAAAGCCACGGCUAACUACGUGCCAGCAGCCGCGGUAAUACGUAGUGGCAAGCGUUAU